GCAUGGAUUUCAAAUUCCUUCCCUCUUGCACAUGUGUUUAAAAUUUGAAUUUAAAUCAGAUUUGGUUGAGAUCUGAUUUGGGUUGUUCCUAUUCCUUUGCAUGCGCCAACUAAAAGAGGUUUUCUGAAAAUAAAUUUCAAAUUUUGAAUGAAAAUUCGGAGGCCAUUAAAAGGGGUCAAACAUGGGCACCAAAAACACAUCCAUUGCAGCCUUCUUC
rnacentral:lncRNA from 1 species